rnacentral:misc_RNA from 1 species
GGAGAAGAAAGAUUUGGCUUGGGAGCGUUAUUAUGAUCUUUCAUCACAAGAGUUGGGAGAGCUUAUCCGGUUCCCAAAGAUGGGAAGGACAUUACACAAGUUCAUUCAUCAGUUCCCAAAGCUGAACCUUGCUGCACAUGUUCAACCAAUUACGCGGUCAGUCUUGAGGGUUGAAUUGACUAUUACACCGGAUUUCCAAUGGGAAGACAAGGUUCAUGGUUAUGUAGAAUCUUUCUGGAUAAUUGUUGAAGAUAAUGAUGGGGAGUAUAUUCUCCAUCAUGAAUAUUUCAUGUUGAAGAAGCAGUAUAUUGAUGAGGACCAUACUUUGAACUUCACAGUCCCAAUAUAUGAGCCACUGCCCCCACAGUACUUCAUUCGGGUUGUCUCCGACAAAUGGCUAGGGUCCCUAACUGUUUUGCCCGUCUCUUUCCGACAUCUGAUUUUGCCAGAGAAAUAUCCUCCUCCCACUGAAUUACUAGACUUGCAACCUCUGCCAGUUACUGCAUUGAGGAAUCCAGCUUAUGAAGCACUUUAUCAAGAUUUUAAGCAUUUCAAUCCGGUUCAGACUCAGGUUUUCACAGUGCUGUACAAUUCAGAUGACAAUGUCUUGGUUGCAGCUCCAACUGGUAGUGGGAAGACUAUUUGUGCUGAAUUUGCCAUAUUAAGGAAUCAUCAGAAAGGACCUGAUAGUACCAUUCGUGCUGUGUAUAUAGCUCCACUGGAGGCUCUCGCUAAGGAGCGGUUCAAUGAUUGGAAAACGAAAUUUGGGGACCAUCUGGGAAUGAGGGUUGUUGAAUUAACUGGGGAGACCGCCAGUGAUCUGAAGCUGUUGGAGAAGGGUCAAUUAAUUAUCAGCACACCUGAGAAAUGGGAUGCUUUGUCUCGUCGC